rnacentral:rRNA from 1 species
AAUGAACGCUGGCGGCGCGCCUAAUACAUGCAAGUCGAGCGAGAAGACGUAGCAAUACGUUUGUAAAGCGGCGAACGGGUGAGGAAUACAUGGGUAACCUACCCUCGAGUGGGGAAUAACUAGCCGAAAGGUUAGCUAAUACCGCGUACGCUCCUUGGACUUCGGUUCAGGGAGGAAAGCGAUACCGUGGGUAUCGCGCUCUUGGUUGGGCUCAUGUCCUAUCAGCUUGUUGGUGAGGAACGGCUCACCAAGGCUUCGACGGGUAGCUGGUCUGAGAGGACGAUCAGCCACACUGGCACUGCGACACGGGCCAGACUCCUACGGGAGGCAGCAGUAAGGAAUAUUGCGCAAUGGGCGAAAGCCUGACGCAGCGACGCCGCGUGGGGGAUGAAGGUCUUCGGAUUGUAAACCCCUUUCGGGAGGGAAGAUGGAACGAGCAAUCGUUCGGACGGUACCUCCAGAAGCAGCC